rnacentral:rRNA from 1 species
AUUGAACGCUGGCGGCAUGCCUUACACAUGCAAGUCGAACGGUAACGGGCCUUCGGGUGCCGACGAGUGGCGAACGGGUGAGUAAUGUAUCGGAACGUACCUUUCAGUGGGGGAUAACGUAGCGAAAGUUACGCUAAUACCGCAUAUUCUGUGAGCAGGAAAGCAGGGGAUCGCAAGACCUUGCGCUGAUUGAGCGGCCGAUAUCAGAUUAGCUAGUUGGUGAGGUAAAGGCUCACCAAGGCGACGAUCUGUAGCGGGUCUGAGAGGAUGAUCCGCCACACUGGAACUGAGACACGGUCCAGACUCCUACGGGAGGCAGCAGUGGGGAAUUUUGGACAAUGGGGGCAACCCUGAUCCAGCCAUACCGCGUGAGUGAAGAAGGCCUUCGGGUUGUAAAGCUCUUUCGGCCGGGAAGAAAUCGCAUCAGCUAAUACCUGGUGCGGAUGACGGUACCGGCAUAAGAAGCACCGGCUAACUACGUGCCAGCCGCCGCUGUAACAC